CCUACGGGAGGCAGCAGUGGGGAAUAUUGCGCAAUGGGCGAAAGCCUGACGCAGCGACGCCGCGUGAGGGAUGAAGGUCUUCGGAUCGUAAACCUCUGUCAGCAGGGAAGAACGGUCACUGUGCUAAUCAGCAGUGAAUUGACGGUACCUGCAAAGGAAGCACCGGCUAACUCCGUGCCAGCAGCCGCGGUAAUACGGAGGGUGCGAGCGUUAAUCGGAAUUACUGGGCGUAAAGCGCUCGUAGGCGGUAUGUCAAGUCAAGGGUGAAAUCCCCGCGCUCAACGUGGGAACUGCCUUUGAAACUGGCAAACUGGAGUGUGUGAGAGGAUGGUGGAAUUCCAGGUGUAGAGGUGAAAUGCGUAGAUAUCUGGAGGAACAUCAGUGGCGAAGGCGACUAUCUGGCACAUAACUGACGCUGAGGAGCGAAAGCGUGGGUAGCAAACAGGAUUAGAUACCCUUGUAGUC
rnacentral:rRNA from 1 species